UGAAGGAGCAUAAGUUGAUACCAAAACAAGUAAGAAGAUGGUCAUUUAACUAGCUAGCUGUCUCAUUGUCCACUGCAACAUCUAAAGCAAAAGGCAGUAACUCUUGUGCUGCAGAACAGGGACAAGUUUCUCAGAAGCAGUCAUCCAUUUUUCCAACUACUGCUCACUUCUCUUCUGAAGAAUCACGUAUCAAGCCAGGGUGUGUAUUUCCUCAGAGAAAAAUCUCUCGGUCAGCUACCCAGCUUUGACUAUAAAGUUUGGCGUACGAAUCACAUGAAUAUGUGAACUGAAGGAUGCUCUCAAGAUAUGGAGUCCAUGCCUCUUUUCUUGGUGAACUCCACCGUGCGCAUGCGGUAUCAUGGAUCUCUGUCCAUGAAUUCUCUUACUAUACGGUAUCAUGGAUCUUCUCAAAUUGUAAAACCAGCAAGACAUACCAUUCCUAUUUGAUUAAGUAGUAACUCAAUGAGAGCUGUUAUGUAUUAAUUGACAUCUCCGUCCCACAUUUAUGUUUCGCUGCCAAUUAUGCAUGACACUUCUGUAUUUAUAGUGACAUUCAUUUCUUAUGGAGUUCUACUGUACUACUA